UCUUUUAUGGGGUGACUGCGUACCUUUUGUAUAAUGGGUCAGCGACUUAUAUUCUGUAGCAAGGUUAACCGAAUAGGGGAGCCGAAGGGAAACCGAGUCUUAACUGGGCGUUAAGUUGCAGGGUAUAGACCCGAAACCCGGUGAUCUAGCCAUGGGCAGGUUGAAGGUUGGGUAACACUAACUGGAGGACCGAACCGACUAAUGUUGAAAAAUUAGCGGAUGACUUGUGGCUGGGGGUGAAAGGCCAAUCAAACCGGGAGAUAGCUGGUUCUCCCCGAAAGCUAUUUAGGUAGCGCCUCGUGAAUUCAUCUCCGGGGGUAGAGCACUGUUUCGGCAAGGGGGUCAUCCCGACUUACCAACCCGAUGCAAACUGCGAAUACCGGAGAAUGUUAUCACGGGAGACACACGGCGGGUGCUAACGUCCGUCGUGAAGAGGGAAACAACCCAGACCGCCAGCUAAGGUCCCAAAGUCAUGGUUAAGUGGGAAACGAUGUGGGAAGGCCCAGACAGCCAGGAUGUUGGCUUAGAAGCAGCCAUCAUUUAAAGAAAGCGUAAUAGCUCACUGGUCGAGUCGGCCUGCGCGGAAGAUGUAACGGGGCUAAACCAUGCACCGAAGCUGCGGCAGCGACGCUUAUGCGUUGUUGGGUAGGGGAGCGUUCUGUAAGCCUGUGAAGGUGUGCUGUGAGGCAUGCUGGAGGUAUCAGAAGUGCGAAUGCUGACAUAAGUAACGAUAAAGCGGGUGAAAAGCCCGCUCGCCGGAAGACCAAGGGUUCCUGUCCAACGUUAAUCGGGGCAGGGUGAGUCGACCCCUAAGGCGAGGCCGAAAGGCGUAGUCGAUGGGAAACAGGUUAAUAUUCCUGUACUUGGUGUUACUGCGAAGGGGGGACGGAGAAGGCUAUGUUGGCCGGGCGACGGUUGUCCCGGUUUAAGCGUGUAGGCUGGUUUUCCAGGCAAAUCCGGAAAAUCAAGGCUGAGGCGUGAUGACGAGGCACUACGGUGCUGAAGCAACAAAUGCCCUGCUUCCAGGAAAAGCCUCUAAGCAUCAGGUAACAUCAAAUCGUACCCCAAACCGACACAGGUGGUCAGGUAGAGAAUACCAAGGCGCUUGAGAGAACUCGGGUGAAGGAACUAGGCAAAAUGGUGCCGUAACUUCGGGAGAAGGCACGCUGAUAUGUAGGUGAAGUCCCUUGCGGAUGGAGCUGAAAUCAGUCGAAGAUACCAGCUGGCUGCAACUGUUUAUUAAAAACACAGCACUGUGCAAACACGAAAGUGGACGUAUACGGUGUGACGCCUGCCCGGUGCCGGAAGGUUAAUUGAUGGGGUCAGCGCAAGCGAAGCUCUUGAUCGAAGCCCCGGUAAACGGCGGCCGUAACUAUAACGGUCCUAAGGUAGCGAAAUUCCUUGUCGGGUAAGUUCCGACCUGCACGAAUGGCGUAAUGAUGGCCAGGCUGUCUCCACCCGAGACUCAGUGAAAUUGAACUCGCUGUGAAGAUGCAGUGUACCCGCGGCAAGACGGAAAGACCCCGUGAACCUUUACUAUAGCUUGACACUGAACAUUGAGCCUUGAUG
rnacentral:rRNA from 1 species